rnacentral:tRNA from 1 species
UAGGGAGACCUAUUUAUGUCUAGACUGAACCAAUACAGAAUUAGGUCAGACAUAAGUCAUCCCAAGGUCGUUCGAGGAAUAUUGGAAAGCUUUCAAACUAAGUCAGGUUCUGGAUUAAGCGAAAGCUUAAACUCUUAAACUAAUUAACAAAAGGGCCAUUAGCUCAGUUGGUUAGAGCGCACCCCUGAUAAGGGUGAGGUCUCUGGUUCGUGUCCAGAAUGGCCCACUUGAGAAACUAGAAGCUAGAGGUAAAAAGCCGAAAGCCAAUAGUUAACUCUGGGGAUAUAGCUCAGUUGGUAGAGCGCCUGCUUUGCACGCAGGAAGUCAGGAGUUCGAAUCUCCUUAUCUCCACCAAACAAUGAAGAGAAAGACUUAUCAAAAGAGUUUAGCAACUCAUCUAGUUGAUAUAGCUGAGAAGCUAGAGAUAGACUAGAGAGCCUGCUGAAUUCAAGCGAGAGCAAAGAAUUCAGAAAGAACCUUGAAAACUGCAUAGUAAAUAAGUAACGAACAAAAGCAAGUAGUACCGAAGUA